UAGCGGAGGAAAAGAAACCAACAGGGAUUGCCUUAGUAGCGGCGAGUGAAGCGGCAAAAGCUCAAAUUUGAAAUCUGGCUCUUUCAGAGUCCGAGUUGUAAUUUGAAGAAGGUAUCUUUGGGUCUGGCUCUUGUCUAUGUUUCUUGGAACAGAACGUCACAGAGGGUGAGAAUCCCGUGCGAUGAGAUGAUCCAGGCCUAUGUAAAGUUCCUUCGAAGAGUCGAGUUGUUUGGGAAUGCAGCUCUAAGUGGGUGGUAAAUUCCAUCUAAAGCUAAAUAUUGGCGAGAGACCGAUAGCGAACAAGUACAGUGAUGGAAAGAUGAAAAGAACUUUGAAAAGAGAGUGAAAAAGUACGUGAAAUUGUUGAAAGGGAAGGGCUUGAGAUCAGACUUGGUAUUUUGUAUGUUACUUCUUCGGGGGUGGCCUCUACAGUUUAUCGGGCCAGCAUCAGUUUGGGCGGUAGGAGAAUUGCGUUGGAAUGUGGCACGGCUUCGGUUGUGUGUUAUAGCCUUCGUCGAUACUGCCAGCCUAGACUGAGGACUGCGGUUUAUACCUAGGAUGUUGGCAUAAUGAUCUUAAGUCGCCCGUCUUGAA
rnacentral:rRNA from 1 species